UACGAAGGGGCUAGCGUUGCUCGGAAUCACUGGGCGUAAAGGGUGCGUAGGCGGGUUUUUAAGUCAGGGGUGAAAUCCUGGAGCUCAACUCCAGAACUGCCUUUGAUACUGAAGAUCUUGAGUUCGGGAGAGGUGAGUGGAACUGCGAGUGUAGAGGUGAAAUUCGUAGAUAUUCGCAAGAACACCAGUGGCGAAGGCGGCUCACUGGCCCGAUACUGACGCUGAGGCACGAAAGCGUGGGGAGCAAACAGGG
rnacentral:rRNA from 1 species